rnacentral:rRNA from 1 species
CAGUCGCCGCGGUAAUACGUAGGGUGCAAGCGUUAAUCGGAAUUACUGGGCGUAAAGCGUGCGCAGGCGGUCCGCUAAGACAGAUGUGAAAUCCCCGGGCUUAACCUGGGAACUGCAUUUGUGACUGGCGGGCUAGAGUAUGGCAGAGGGGGGUAGAAUUCCACGUGUAGCAGUGAAAUGCGUAGAGAUGUGGAGGAAUACCGAUGGCGAAGGCAGCCCCCUGGGCCAAUACUGACGCUCAUACACGAAAGCGUGGGGAGCAAACAGGAUUAGAUACCCCUGUAGUCCCUGUCUCUUAUAC